GCAUCCUGCUAGCCCUGAGCUGAAGCUGGCUUGUUCACAAGCUGUAGCAUAUUGUAAAGCAGAAGACACUGAUAUAUCACGACUAGCUCUGAAAUUCAGUUUGACUCAAGCGGGAGAUAUUUCUACUACAUUAGUUAGUAUGCCUACUUUAGAGCAACUGACCAGGAAUAUUGAAGUAGAAGCUGAGCAGCUAACGAGCCACGAAAUGAA